CAGCCGCCGCGGUAAUACCGGCGGCCCGAGUGGCGGCCACUAUUAUUGGGCUUAAAGCGUCCGUAGCCGGGUUGGUUAGUCUCCCGGGAAAUCUGGCCGCUUAACGGUCAGAAUUCCGGGAGAUACUGCCAGCCUAGGGACCGGGAGAGGCCGAGGGUAUUCCCGGAGUAGGGGGGAAAUCCUAUAAUCCCGGGAGGACCACCUGUGGCGAAGGCGCUCGGCUGGAACGGGUCCGACGGUGAGGGACGAAGGCCAGGGGAGCAAACCGGAUUAGAUACCCGGGUAGUCCUGGCUGUAAACGAUGCGGACUUUGUGUCGGACAAGCUAUGAGCUUGUCCGGUGCCGGAGGGAAACCGUUAAGUCCGCCGCCUGGGGAGUACGGCCGCAAGGCUGAAACUUAAAGGAAUUGGCGGG
rnacentral:rRNA from 1 species